CAUUAAGUGUCUGAAAGUAAGAGAUGGUCUCUUAAACCAAUAAAUAGUAAUUAACAAAUACUCUUAAUGG
rnacentral:tRNA from 1 species